CAACCCCUCAGGCCCUGGUGCCUGGCGUCGGGGCCGUCUCCCGCGAAGGAGAGCCCUCAGAAACAGUGGCGGACCCGCCGCGGCUCCGAGCGCAGUAGUUAAUAUUUCUCGCUCAGGAGGUCCGUGGCGCGGCACUCCGGCCGUAAAACCGGGCUCAGGGAAACCGGCCCACACCCCACAA
rnacentral:misc_RNA from 1 species